rnacentral:lncRNA from 1 species
GGUGUCUGGAGUCUUGAACCUGAGGAUUUGUCAGCUGUCACAAUGGAGCGGUUCGAACCUCAGAUCAAUGCUGAAGAAAGUGAAAUCCGUUACUCCACCUGGAAGAAAGCUGUGAUGAAGUCCAUUGGUUGGGUUACAACUCAAUCUCCUGAAAGUGGUGACCCUAGUAUCUUCUGUAGUCUGCCUUUGGGCUUUUUUAUAGUGAGUAGCAUGGUAAUGUUAAUCGGAGCAAGGUACAUCUCAGGUAUCCCAUAAAUAAUACCACCUCAUAGAAUCCCAAGAUGCAAGCCCUU